rnacentral:rRNA from 1 species
CACGUAGGGGGCAAGCGUUGUCCGGAUUUAUUGGGCGUAAAGAGCUCGUAGGUGGUUCGGUAAGUCGGGUGUGAAACCUCCAGGCUCAACCUGGAGACGCCACCUGAUACUGCUGUGACUGGAGUCCGGUAGGGGAGCGUGGAAUUCCUGGUGUAGCGGUGAAAUGCGCAGAUAUCAGGAGGAACACCAGCGGCGAAGGCGGCGCUCUGGGCCGGUACUGACGCUGAGGUGCGAAAGCGCGGGGAGCAAACAGG